rnacentral:rRNA from 1 species
UACGGAGGAUCCAAGCGUUAUCCGGAUUUAUUGGGUUUAAAGGGUGCGUAGGCGGCCUAUUAAGUCAGGGGUGAAAGACGGUAGCUUAACUAUCGCAGUGCCUUUGAUACUGAUGGGCUUGAAUACACUAGAGGUAGGCGGAAUGUGACAAGUAGCGGUGAAAUGCAUAGAUAUGUCACAGAACACCAAUUACGAAGGCAGCUUACUAUGGUGCAAUUGACGCUGAGGCACGAAAGCGUGGGGAUCAAACAGG